rnacentral:rRNA from 1 species
GACGAACGCUGGCGGCGUGCUUAACACAUGCAAGUCGAACGGAAAGGCCCUGCUUUUGUGGGGUGCUCGAGUGGCGAACGGGUGAGUCACACGUGAGUAACCUGCCCUUGACUUUGGGAUAACUUCAGGAAACUGGGGCUAAUACCGGAUAGGAGCUCCUGCUGCAUGGUGGGGGUUGGAAAGUUUCGGCGGUUGGGGAUGGACUCGCGGCUUAUCAGCUUGUUGGUGGGGUAGUGGCUUACCAAGGCUUUGACGGGUAGCCGGCCUGGGAGGGUGACCGGCCACAUUGGGACUGAGAUACGGCCCAGACUCCUACGGGAGGCAGCAGUGGGGAAUAUUGCACAAGGGGCGGAAGCCUGAUGCAGCAACGCCGCGGGCGGGAUGACGGCCUUCGGGUUGUAAACCGCUUUCGCCUGUGACGAAGCGUGAGUGACGGUAAUGGGUAAAGAAGCACCGGCUAACUACGUG